AUGCAAAGGGUAAGGCUGAGUACAGGGCCGCCUUAUGACAUGCUGGGGGAGCCUUUGAGAGCGGCAAGGCAGGGACAAAGGGAGGGUAAAACAGGGGCAAAGGGAGCAUAUUACAGGGGGCUUAUUAGGCAAAGGGGCAAAGGGCCAGAAAACAAGGGCAAAGGGAGCAUAUUACAGGGAGAUUAUUACUUGAGAGCAUUGCAAAGGGAGGGCAGUGCAGAGGGAGGGCAGGGAGAGGAGAUAAAAGGGAGGAAAGGGGUUCAAUUAAGGGAGGAUUCUGACUUGAGGGGUGCAAAGGGAGAGGACAAAGGGAGCAUAGUACAGGGAGAUCAUUACUUGAGAGCAGAGUAAAGGGAGGGCAGGGAGAGGAGAUAAAAGGGAGGAAAGGGGUUCAAUUAAGGGAGGAUUCUGACUUGAGGGGUGCAAAGGGAGCAUACUACAGGGAGAUUAUUACUUGAGAGCAGAGUAAAGGGAGGGCAGGGAGAGGAGAUAAAAGGGAGGAAAGGGGUUCAAUCAAGGGAGGAUUCUGACUUGGGAGCAACACAGGGAGGGGAGGGCAUUUAUAGAGGGGUUCAAAAUACAGGAAAUACAACCAAAGGGAGCUUAUUAGGGGGGGUUCAAAAUACGAUAAUACAGCAUAAGGGAGGGUUCAAAAUACAUAACACUGGAAGCCAAUGAUAUGUGUCACCAGGAUACACCACACCAACUCAGCACCAAGAUACAUAAGCAAUACAUAAUAACAGGUACUAGCUAUGUGUGAUGGAGUUUAAUGGAGGAUGGGAAAGAAAGUAUAUUAACGGGGGAAACUGUGGAAGAUUUUAGGAUUUGAACGUUGUGGCCUAAGAGAAGGGAGAGCAUUAGGCAAGGACGUAAUCAAAGAAGGAAAAUGAUAUAGAAAGUAGUAAUAUAUAGACUAGUAUGAGGAAAAUAGGAUUGUUAAGCAAAAAAAUAUAGCUAGGAGGAUUUUGAAAUAUACUUGUCGUUGGGGUCAAAAGUUUAGAUAUGAAAAAUUUAAUACAGAACUUGAUUUUAAAAAGAGAGAAUGUGGUCCAAAAUAUAGCCUGGUGAACUUUGAAACACUCGUCGUUGGGGUCAAAAGUUUAGAUAUGAAAAAUUUAAUACAGAACUUGAUUUUAAAAAGAGAGAAUGUGGUCCAAAAUAUAGCCUGGUGAACUUUGAAACACUCGUCGUUGGGGUCAAAAGUUUAGAUAUGAAAAAUUUAAUACAGAACUUGAUUUUAAAAAGAGAGAAUGAGGUCCAAUAUAUAGCCUGGUAAACUUUGAAACACACUCAUCGUUGGACCCAAAAGUUUAGAUAUGAAAAAUUUAAUACCGAACUUGAUUUUAAAAAGAGAGAUUGUGGUCCAAAAUAUAGCCUGGUAAACUUUGAAACACACUUGUCGUUGGACCCAAAAGUUUAGAUAUGAAAAAUUUAAUACAGAACUUGAUUUUAAAAAGAGAGAAUGUGGUCCAAAAUAUAGCCUGGUAAACUUUGAAACACACUUGUUGUUGGGUUCAAAAGUUUAGACAUGAAAAAUUAAAUACAGAACUUGAUUUUAAAAAGAGAGAAUGUGGUCCAAAAUAUAGCCUGGUGAACUUUGAAACACUCGUCGUUGGGGUCAAAAGUUUAGAUGUGAAAAAUUUAAUACAGAACUUGAUUUUAAAAAGAGAGAAUGUGGUCCAAAAUAUAGCCUGGUAAACUUUGAAACACACUCAUCAUUGGACCCAAAAGUUUAGACAUGAAAAGUUUAAUACAGAACUUGAUGUAAAAAAAGAAAAUGUGGUCUACAGGUUGAAAAAGAAAGACAAGGCGAAGCGAGUUGACACAAACCACUUAAGGAAAUAAAUAAAUAAAAUAUCUAGGUAAUAAAAAACAGAAUUAAAUGUUAACAAAAUCACUUUCAACAAUAAUGAAGGGAGCUGAAAGGGAGAUAAGGGAGAGUUCAAAAUACAUAGAGGAGGAUGAAGAGGGAGAUUAACUUAAAGGGUGAAUAAACAGCAUAGGUUCAACAGUACAAAGGGAGGGUGAAAGAGAGAUAAGGGAGGGUUCAACAAUGCAGAGAAAGGGUGAAGGGUGAUGAGCGAUCGAACACUACACAUACUUAGGGAGAAAGGGUGUAGAGGAAGGGUUCAAAAUACAUACUUCCAGGGUGAAUAAGGGAUUGAAAUACAGGGUGAAGGGUGCCAGGGAGGGUUCAAAUCCAUACUCAUAAGCUUAAAGGGAGAGCAAGGGAGGGUUCAGAAUACAUAGGGUGAUUAUGUGGGAUCAAAAUACAUACUUAAGGGUGAAUAAGGGAUCGAAAUACAGGGUGAUAGGGUGCCAGGGAGGGUUCAAAUCCAUACUCAGAAGGGGAUCAAGGGAGGGUUCAGGGAGAUUAUAAGGGUUCGGAAUACAUACUUACAGGGGGAAUAUGGGAUCGAAAUACAGGGUGAAGGGGUGCCAGGGAGGGUUCAAAUCCAUACUCAGAAGGGGAUCAAGGGAGGGUUCAGGGAGAUUAUAAGGGUUCGGAAUGCAUACUUACAGGGUGAAUAUGGGAUCGAAAUACAGGGUGAUAGGGUGCCAGGGAGGGUUCAAAUCCAUACUCAGAAGGGGAUCAAGGGAGGGUUCAAGGAGACUUUGAGGGUUCGAAAUACAUACUUGCAGGGUGAAUAAGGGAUCGAAAUACAGGGUGAAAGGGUGCCAGGGAGGGUUCAAAUCCAUACUCGAGGGAGGGUUCAAGAUACAUAGAGUGAUUAUAGGGGUUCAAAAUACAUACCACACACUUGAAGCCGCACUCAGGGGGGGGAGGGGGGGUAUGGAAGGGGGUUCAAAGUGCGUUCAAAGCCAUACACAGGGAGGUUCAAACUGGCCUUUUGUGGGGUUUAAUUCUAUGGGUCAUCCACUCCUGUCUAUGUAUGGAAUGUAUAUAUAUAUUUUUUUUAUUAUUAUUAUUUUUUUCCCCCUCGAAUUUCUUCCAUAAUUUCUGCCUCUUCUUAUUUUUCUUAAUUUUCUUUCUCUCUCCUUCUCCUGUUUCCCCAUUUCCUAUUUCUUCUCCUUCUUAUCUAUCUUUCCUUCUCUUUUGGUUCUUCCUAUUUCUCUCUCUCUCUCUCUCUCUCUCUCUCUCUCUCUCUCUCUCUCUCUCAUUUUCUGUAUUUUUGUAUUUAUUCUCAUUUUCUUUCUUUCUCUGUCUUUCUAUUUCCCAUUUCUUCCUUUUUCCUAGUUUUCUCUUCUGUUUCUUCCCUUCCUUCCAUUAUUUUCAGGUCCUUUUCUUUCCCUUCCUUCCUUCCUUCCUUCCCUUCCCUUCCUUUCCUUUCCCUUCCUUCCCUUCUCUUUCCUUUCUUCCUAUCUCAUUCUCUUCCCUUCCUUCCUUCCUUUCCUUUCCUUUCCUUCCUUUCCUUUCCCUUUCCUUUCCCUUCCUUCCUUCCUGCCCUUCUCUUUCCUUUCUUCCUAUCUCAUUCUCUUCCCUUCCUUCCUUCCCUUUCCUUUCCCUUCCUUCCUUCCUUCCUUCCCUUUCCCUUCCUUCCUUCCUUCUCUUCCCUUCCCUUCCCUUCCCUUUCCUUUCCUUUCCUUUCCUUUCCUUCCCUUCCCUUCUCUUCUGCUCCCUUCUCUUCCCUUCUAUUACCUCUCCUUCCAUUCCCUUCCCUUCUCUUUCCUUUCCUUUCCUUUCCUUCCCUUCUCUUCCCUUCUAUUACCUCUCCUUCCAUUCCCUUCCCUUCUGUUCCCUUCCUUCCCUUCCCUUCCCUUACCUUUCCACACACAGGACAGGAGGAAUGACCACACUGAGAAAGGGGUAUUGCAUCCUGUUUAAAAGAAGGGCUGGGAGGGGGUGGCAACAUACCAACAUACACCCACACACACACACAUACCCACACAUACGCCUGAAAAUAUAAGACUGCAUGGUUAUACAGGCCAACAUAUGAGGCUCACACAUAUACAUAACCCCUGCAAAUAUAUAUCUGAAAAAGGAAGAUGGUGUGAUUAAUAUAUACAGAAUAAUACAUGAAUCUAUGGAGUAUACUUAAGAUUAAAUUUGUAUACAUUAACUUUAGGCUAUAGGCUCGGCACACAUCAUGCAGCUUACGUCUAUCCCAGCAGCUCAAGGCGUGAUAUCUAUACGUACAUUGCGUGUGGGCUAAGAUUAUGAUGACCUGGAGCCGUGUCGUAGAAUAUUUUGUUUUUAUGCCGUUCUUUGUCAUUUCCAGCGGCGAAUUUGCGGGUAAUAAGGAUCGAAAUUUUGUGCGUGUCCCCGAAAGUGGAUUGCACGAGGAAAAGCGGAUCUGGAAAUGUCGUUUUGCGUGGAUGGAUUGAAAAUAGACUCGAUGGAUCUUUUUUAAAUUCUGACGGGUAUUUAUUUACAUUGGGUAGUUUGUGAAUGGUCCAAUUUUAUCAUUAACAUUUUCUUUUGUAUACGAAAUGACAAAGACGCAUAAAAAUAAAAAUAUCACAUACAGGCUCCGUUUGCUGUCUAUAUAUAAGUUUCUGAGGCUGUCUAGGGCUGUCUAAGGCUCUAUAUAUGAGGCUAAGUAAGGCUGGAUAAGGCUAGGCUAUGGACAGACCCUUGGUGGAGGAGAAAGAGGAGGAAGAAGAGGAGGAAAAGGCUGACGGAAAGAUUGACAAAAAGCGGAGUGAGAAGUUGACUAAAAGGCUUGAAAUAAAGGCUGACAAGAGGCUGAUAUUGACAUUUUCAGGCUGACGAAACUCCUGACACAAAGGCUGACGGAAAGAUUGACUAAAAGGCUUGAAUUAAAGGCUGACAAGAGGCUGAUAUUGACAUUUUCUGGCUGACGAAACUCCUGACAAAAUGCUGACGGAAAUAUUGACACAAAAGCGGAGUGAGAAGUUGACUAAAAGGCUUGAAUUAAAGGCUGACAAGAGGCUGACAUUGACAUUUUCAGGCUGACAAAAUGCUGAGCGACAAAUUAUGAAGAAAACUUGAAUUGAGGGCUGACAAAAAAUGCUGACAUUGACCUUUCCCGGCUGACGAAACUCUGGAAAAAUGCUGACAAUAUUGGCUGACAGAUAGGCUGACUAAAUACCUGACUACCAUUGACCAAGCUGACAGAAUUAAAGGGAAAACUCAACACUGACAUAAGGCUGACUGACGGAGCGGCUGACAACAUUAACUGACAAAAACCGGCUUGCUGUCUUACCUUCAUGUUCCUCGUUAGCUGUGUGUGUUAGUGGGCACUCGACACGCACACAAACGCAAACACACACACCUGUACGCCCUCACACACACACGCACACACGUUAGGCAACACUACAGCAAUGGCGAAACACACAAACACACGAACACACACACAGAAAAGCGGACAAAUAAAGUAAAAAAAAAAGCUUUGGCUACGAAAACACACGCAAAACAGGAGGAGGAGGAGGAGGAGGAGGAGGAGGAGGAGGAGAAGCAUAGGCUGUAGUAGGAAUAAUUAUACAGCAAACACACACACACACACACA